CUACGGGACGCUGCAGUGGGGAAUAUUGGGCAAUGGGCGCAAGCCUGACCCAGCAACGCCGCGUGAGGGAAGAAGGUUUUCGGAUUGUAAACCUCUGUCCUUGGGGACGAAGAAGUGACGGUACCCAAGGAGGAAGCUCCGGCUAACUACGUGCCAGCAGCCGCGGUAAUACGUAGGGAGCAAGCGUUGUCCGGAAUUACUGGGCGUAAAGGGUGCGUAGGCGGCAUAUUAAGUCAGGUGUGAAAUACUCGGGCUCAACUCGGGGGCUGCAUUUGAAACUGAUAUGCUUGAGUGUGAGAGAGGAAAGUGGAAUUCCUAGUGUAGCGGUGGAAUGCGUAGAUAUUAGGAGGAACACCAGUGGCGAAGGCGACUUUCUGGCUCAUAACUGACGCUGAGGCACGAAAGCGUGGGGAGCAAACAGGAUUAGAUACCCCAGUAGUC
rnacentral:rRNA from 1 species